rnacentral:rRNA from 1 species
GACGAACGCUGGCGGCGUGCUUAACACAUGCAAGUCGAACGGAAAGACGCUGCUUUUGGGGGAUGCUCGAGUGACGAACGGGUGAUUAACACGUAAGUGACCUGCCCUUGACUUUGAGAUAACUUCAGAAAACUGAGGCUAAUACCUGAUAGGAGGUCCUACUGCAUGGUGGGGAUUGUAAAGUUUCUGUGGUUCGGGAUGGACUCGCGGCUUAUCAUCUUGUUGGUGGGGUAGUGGCUUACCAAGGCUUUGAAUGGUCGACGGCAUGAGAGGGUGACCGGCGCCAUUGGGACUGCGAGAGGCACCAGAGUCGUAUGGGAGGCAGUAGUCGGGAAUCUUAGACAAUGGGGGGACGUCUGAUAAGAAAACCCUCGGGUCGUGAUCACGGAUUGCGCGUAGUAAAACGGUUUCGGCUGUUACGCAGCGUGAGUGACGGUAAUGGGUAAAGAAGCACCGGCUAACUACGUG